GACUCAGGUAGCUCUGCACUGCCCCUGCAAGCCCUGCACAAUUGCUUUUGCUUCUGCAGCUGCUUCUACACCAAAGACAAGUCUGCUUGCUCUUGUAUAGUAGUCACAGAAAUCUAUCCACCCCUGGCACAUGCUGUGUGCUUUGGCUUCUUGCUGUGGGUUUGAAGAUUAGUGGAGCGUGUUGGAAGCCUUGUGGGAAGCAGGAGUUCUUAGUCCGCAGUUACAUCUAUGGUUGCCUGCAAAUGCGUAAGUAGCUCGCAGCAGUACUAUGUGCCUCAAAUGUCUGCUGUGAUUUUGACUCAUAAAUAAUCCUUAAGAUAAAAAACAGGCAUGUAAUGAGCAACCUUUAUUGUCAAAGUGCUAUGCACAGAGUUACUGUGUUUGCACACCUCAUUAAGCAAGAGCGAUGUAACUUCUAAAAGGGUCAGACAUAAGUGCAAGUAAUGUUCCCUCUUCUGGUCCAAGGUAGGAAAAUCCAGCUUGGCUUCAGAGAGUUUUUGCUGGCUUUCUGGAAUUCACUUAUGUUUCUUUAUAUUAAAGCUUGACAAAAUAUAGAUGCAGUUAGUUUGUCUCUGUUUUUUUCCUUCACUUGUCAGCUGGGUGUAACUACUCUGUGGGAUUUUUUCCUGGAUUGCUUAUUCAAUGUGGAAAAAACAUUGUGUAUUGAAUUUAGACAUAAAUGCAGCUCCAGUUCCAAAUUGGAGCCCUGGGCAUCUGAUGUGGAUUUGCACCUGUUUCAUGUGCUGUGUGGCAGUUGCAGUCACAUUUCACUGCAUGCAUAUAAAAGUAGUACCAUAUUUUACACAUCUUAAAGAACCUGCAGUGAUAUACUGGAUAUAAUUAGGGUAGGUAUGCCUUCAGAUUAAUAUCUUUUGAAAUCUUUUACUUCCUGCCAACAAUACGUUCUGAGUUCUUUAAAUAUGAAACUUACGUUAAGUUAGUUGUCGGUCUGAAAAAACCAGCUAGAAUUAAUAAUUGGGCAGUAUGUAGCACGCUUUUGCAGUGGAAAUGCAGUCUAUUAUUAGGCAGCUUGAUAUAUUUGGAAAUACAACUAGUGAUCUGUGGUAGUUUCCUGAUGUAACCUUACCCAUCAGUGAGGAAAGAGCCUCAAGAGGGAGGCUGUUGAAGAAUUUUACAUUGCCACAGCAGGCAAUAUGCGUUAGGACUCUAGUCCUAACAGUUACUUGAGCACUGUGAAUGUAGUAAUCUAGAUUUUAAUUGAUAAACAAGACCUAAGAGUUCACGUUUCACUUUUUGCUUUUACUUCUCCCAUUUUGCAGGGUUCCUUUCCAAGAGGAGAUUUUUAGAGAUGCUGCAACUUGAGUGUUUUCUGCCUUUCCUUCUGUCUGACACGCUUCAUUCAAAUUAGCGCAUAGGUGCAAAUGUUUUUUGGAAGGUGGCAGGAGAGGUACAAAAUGAUUUUCUGUGCCUCAUUUGCUUGAAAAGUAGAUCAUCAGGAUUAACAGGGUGGUGGAGGUAGCUAGGUACACGGUUCUUCCAUAACGGAUUAAAUUCUCCAUCCUCUUGAGUUUCAUAGUCCCUGACAAAGAGAUCUGGAAUAGAAGGAAUGAGAUGCUUAAGUAAUUAAUCUUUAUUGUAGAAGAAAAAGUUAUUGUUUAUUGCAUAAAUUAAUUGGUUAUUGUGGAGUCAGUCAUGAAUAGAACAUUUAUCUUCUUAUUUGCAGAUAUUAAGAAAAUUUAUUGUAGUUACCAAAAUGCAAGACAAAUGAAACUGCUAAGUUUUAUUAGAUCUAAAGUCUAUUCAGUUCCUUGCUCAAUUGAUGAUCUUUAUGGUUAGCUGCAAAAAUGGAUUAUGUUCCUUUGGUAGCUGUUAAUUUGUCUACAUCAUGCUGAUACUGGAUUCCUGCCUCACGUACUGACAUUAAACCAUGUGCUGAGUAAGGGCUACAGACCGUAUGCUAUAAAAAUUGAUUGAGAUUGACUUGCAUAGCAUUAAACUGACACAGGUAUUUUAUUUUUUUGUUGUUGGAAAGAUACUUAAGUCCUUUCAGGAGGGCCUUUCACAUAUAUGUAUGAGCUGAAUAUGUUGGGCUGAGCAUGACACUGGUCAGGUUAAAAAUGGCAAAAUGGUAAAUGAUACAGAAAUUGGUUAGGUAUGCCAAAACAAGUGGCAAAAGCUGCUUUCUUCUAUGAAAUAAAUUCCUUAGAUUCAGAGGACUUAGUGAUGUUUUGCUGUAAACUCAAUUAUGCUGAAGAGCUAAGUUAGGCUUGUCAGUCUUCUUACAAGAAGUAGUCUUUAAGAUGUUAGUGUGCUUUCUGUUUACUAAAUACAUUUUGCUUUUUACCUUUUUUUUUUUUUUUAAAGAAAUUUGUGCUUUUAGAUUAUGGCUUUUAAGCAAUUGAAGCAGUUCUCAGAAGUGGAUACACACAUGCUCAUCUUUUACCAUACUUACAAAAUCAUGUAAUGAUUUUGUUACAGGAACUCAAUCAUGGAAUGAUUUGAGCUGGAAGGGACCUUUAAAGAUCCCAUAGUGAUUUCAAGUUUCUCUGAAUAGUUGAUCUGUUUCUGGUUUGUUGUCACUUUCAUGGCUCUGUUGGGAAAGCUCCUCUCCUUUCAUUUAUAUCCUUGUAGAAAGGCCUCACAUUUUAUUCAAUAGCUUCUUAUAUAAUUUUUUUUUAAUGUGUCCAUAGUUUUUUGCAACAACACUGUCAGUCAGUUGUAACUAUUUUUGUUCCACAUGUGAAGUAUUUGCUUGCUUGGUUUUGUCUCAAUAGUAUUAAGUAAUGACAUCAGUGCAAAUUGACUUUAUUAACCCUAAAAUAAUGUCGCCAGAACUUAAAGGUCAAGAUGUCUGAAAUGAGAAACUUGCUGAGAGUCUUGGCCAGAGCUGUAGGAAAAGAAUAAAAUGUGACUGGUUUGAAUGUAGGUCUUUCAACUUCUCUGUCUGGAGAUGCUCAAGACUUCAUUUAAUGAGGAAGGGGGGUCUUGUGCACAUGCGUUAAGGAAGAGUGAAGACAGGACAAAUCUUUCAGCUCCAGGAUUUCACUGCUGUGCUUUCUUCUCUUUGGAUCGCCUGUGCCAGGUGCAUCUUUUGCGCUGUGUUUGCUGCAGUUUUCUGAGGUAGUGUAAGGUGAGAGGUAAAAGAAAUGCACGUCUGGAGCAUGAGAUUUAACACUUGGGUACUUCCAGUCUCCUCACUUAGCAUGCAACAAGAUGUAUUGUGCAGUGUUCAGUCAUUGAAUACGUACCUCAGGAGUCCUUGAGGGAGCAUCCCUGUACCCACUCCUCGCUGAGCCCCAGUGCUGCCGCAGAGGGAUUAGGUACAGCGAGUUUUCCAGGCCAUAGUUUGAAGCUGUGUUUUCUGCCAGUGGAAGUGCUUGCUUGAGGCACCCAGCAGCACACCACUGUGGGUGCUGUGUUGUAAACACACUCAGAGAACCUCUGGAAAUGCUUUCUUUCCGGGGUUGGUUUUUUUUUUCCGUGGCUGAGAUCAGCUCUCUGUUUUUACAAUGCAGGCUCACAUGUAACUGCUAUCACGACACGCCAUAGUGCACUGCAGCACAUGGGUGGGAAGGAGCUUGGAGCAAUUCCUUUGUAAGCUGCUGCUGUGGUCAUGCCCCUGUGCGGUGAAACUGCAGCAAAUGUUGUUCCCAGCUGCCUUUGGCUCCAAGCUUAAUCUUACUUGGUCAUAGUUAAACUUGCAAAACCAUUUUCUUUUAGUUCAAAUUAAUGUUGUUUUGUUCCCCUGUUUCUCUCUUUGCAGGCUGAAAAUCAUCCAACUAAGCUCUCUUUCCUCCUCUCCUAGUGUCACAGCUCGUGUUGAAAAGUAAACAUGUUUUCAGUGAUUAACAGCAGUGACUAGGAGAUGUUGCUGAGUAACAAGAUGAAUACCUACCCCCUUGUUUUGUAAAUGGCCAGUGUUCUGACCAACUCUAUAUUUACAGAUCAUAUCUAAAUUGUGUGGGGGUUUUGUGGUUAUAACUUUAAAAUUUGAUCUAUGACAUGCAUAUCAAGUUGUAUCAGGUCACAGUGUCUUCUGUUGGAAUCAAAUUACUUUGCUGUUUAAUUAAAAUGUCCCUGGGUUAGAGUGACUGUC
rnacentral:lncRNA from 1 species